rnacentral:rRNA from 1 species
UACGUAGGGUGCAAGCGUUAAUCGGAAUUACUGGGCGUAAAGCGUGCGCAGGCGGUUUUGUAAGUUUGUCGUGAAAGCCCCGGGCUCAACCUGGGAAUUGCGAUGGAGACUGCAAGGCUUGAAUCUGGCAGAGGGGGGUAGAAUUCCACGUGUAGCAGUGAAAUGCGUAGAGAUGUGGAGGAACACCGAUGGCGAAGGCAGCCCCCUGGGUCAAGAUUGACGCUCAUGCACGAAAGCGUGGGGAGCAAACCGG